rnacentral:rRNA from 1 species
AUUGAACGCUGGCGGCAGGCCUAACACAUGCAAGUCGAACGAGUGGCGGACGGGUGAGUAAUGUCUGGGACACUGCCUGAUGGAGGGGGAUACCUACUGGAACCGGUAGCUAAUACCGCAUACCAUCAGAUGUGCCCAGAUCGGAUUAGCUGGUAGGUGGGGUAAAGGCUCACCUAGGCGACGAUCCCUAGCUGGUCUGAGAGGAGGACAAGCAACACUGGAACGGAGCCACGGUCCAGAUUCUUAGGGGAGCAGGCAUUGGGGAAUAUUGCACAAUGGGCGCAAGCCUGAUGCAGCCAGGCGGCGUGUAGGAAGAAGGCCUUCGGGUUGUAAAGUACUUUGAGCGGGGAGGCGUUACCCGCAGAGGAAGCACCGGCUAACUCCGUGCCAGCAGCCGCGGUAAUAC